rnacentral:tRNA from 1 species
ACAAACAUAGUUUAACCAAAACAUUAAAUUGUGAUUUUAAAAAUAGAAGUUAAAAACUUCUUGUUUGUC